rnacentral:rRNA from 1 species
UACGUAGGCAGCGAGCGUUGUUCGGAAUUACUGGGCGUAAAGAGUGUGUAGGCGGUGCUCUAAGUUCGGUGUGAAAUCUCCUGCUCAACUGGGAGGGUGCGCCGGAAACUGGAGUGCUUGAGCGUGGGAGAGGAAAGCGGAAUUCCUGGUGUAGCGGUGAAAUGCGUAGAUAUCAGGAGGAACACCUGUGGUGUAGACGGCUUUCUGGACCAUAGCUGACGCUGAGACACGAAAGCGUGGGUAGCAACAGG